rnacentral:rRNA from 1 species
GACGAACGCUGGCGGCAGGCUUAACACAUGCAAGUCGCGGGGAAGGACCCUGCUUGCAGGGUACUCGAGUGGCGGACGGGUGAGUAACACGUUGAUGCUUUGCCCUGCACUUCGGCAUAAGCCUGGAAAACGGGGUCUAUUGCCGGAUAGGAGCCAGUUUUAGUGUGAUGGUUGGAAAGUUUUUUGGGUGUCGGAUGAGCUCGCGGCCUAUCAGCUUGUUGGUGGGGUAAUGGCCUAGCAAGGCGGCGACGGGUAGCCGGCCUGAGAGGGUGGACGGCGACACUGGGACUGAGAUAAGGCGCAGAAGCCGACGGGAGGCAGCAGUGGUGAAUAUUGCACAAUAGGCGCAAGCCUGAUGCAGCGACGACGCGUGUGGGAUGACGGCCUUCGUGUUGUACAGGGAUAUCGCUAGGGACGAAUCUGUUUUUGACGGUACCGAGAGAAGAAGCACCGGCUAACUCCGUG